GGAAUAUUGGGCAAUGGGCGAAAGCCUGACCCAGCAACGCCGCGUGAAGGAUGAAGGCCUUCGGGUCGUAAACUUCUGUCGAGAGGGGAGAAGGCGUACGGGUAAACAAUUCGUUCGUUUGACGGUACCUCCAAAGGAAGCACCGGCUACCUCCGUGCCAGCAGCCGCGGUAAUACGGAGGGUGCAAGCGUUGUUCGGAUUCAUUGGGCGGAAAGCGAGUGUAGGCGGUUUGACAAGUCGGAUGUGAAAUCCCGGGGCCCAACCCCGGAACUGCAUCCGAUACUGUCUGGCUAGAGUCCCGGAGAGGGUGGCGGAAUUCCCGGUGUAGGGGUGAAAUCCGUAGAUAUCGGGAGGAACACCAGUGGCGAAGGCGGCCACCUGGACGGUGACUGACGCUGAGACUCGAAAGCGUGGGGAGC
rnacentral:rRNA from 1 species